UACGGAGGGGGCUAGCGUUGUUCGGAAUUACUGGGCGUAAAGCGCACGUAGGCGGAUCAGUUAGUCGGGGGGUGAAAUCCCGGGGGCUCAACCCCGGAACUGCCUUCGAUACUGCUUUGCUUGAGGAUCUGGAGAGGAGAUUGGAAUUCACGGUGUAGCAGUGAAAUGCGUAGAUAUCGUGAGGAAGACCAGUGGCGAAGGCGGAUCUCGUGG
rnacentral:rRNA from 1 species